GUUACUUUUGUCAACGCUCGUCAAGAUAAACCAAUCACCGCAUUUUGAGGUCAACCGUUAAUGAGUUAAUUUUUAAAACGCUUACAGAUACUACUGAAUCCGCUUUCCAUUUGUUUAUCAGGUGUCCGAAACAAAGUAGACGUCCUGAAAGGUGGUGAUGAUACACUCCUGUUUGCAUGUCACGUUGGGGUCAAAGGGCAAGAUCCUGGCGUUUCCUGACAGUGCAUGCUGGAAGAAAAGGAAACAGAGCAUCUCUCUCUAUAAGAAAAUGUUCUGGCAGUCCUUGAAGAAGGCAAAUCCACUUCACCUACACAACACCAGUGUGUAAGAGAGAGAGGAACCAGAGACAAGGGAAAGUGUGUGAGUAUUCUUAGCAGGUGGCACAGAGAACACGCCCAUCCUAGACAGACCCCUCACUGAUAACCUGGCCCAGUUCUGUUCAAUUCAAUCAAGGGAUUUACACACACAUAGUGUGAUACAUGAGCUUGGCGAUCCGCCUAAAUCUCAAUUAUGAUACCAACUCCACGGUGCACAUGAGGACACGCAAUAAACCACUUACACACACAAACACAUUACUAGAGCAUGAUGAUCAAUGGAUUUUCCCUCACAUUUCCUUUACACUCUUAAAAAAAAAGAUUUCACAGUGAUGCCACGAAGAACCAUUUCUGGUUUCCCAAAGAACCUUUCAGUGAACAGUUCUUAAUAUGAAGAACAUUUUAAGAAUCUUAAGAUCCU